rnacentral:rRNA from 1 species
UACGAAGGGGCUAGCGUUGUUCGGAAUUACUGGGCGUAAAGCGCGCGCAGGCGGCUAUCCAAGUCAGUGGUGAAAGCCCGGAGCUUCAACUCCGGAACUGCCAUUGAAACUGUUUAGCUGAGGACGAGAGAGGUGAGUGGAAUCCAGUGUAGAGGUGAAAUUCGUAGAUAUUGGGAAGAACACCGGAUGGCGAAGGCGAGUCACGUG